rnacentral:rRNA from 1 species
UCCAGCAGCCGCGGUAAUUCCAGCUCCAAUAGCGUAUAUUAAAAUUGUUGCAGUUAAAAAGCUCGUAGUUGAAUUUUUGCUAAAAAUAACCGGUCUGCUUUUAUUAAUAAAGGUGGUAUCUUGGUGUGUUUUUAGCAAUAAUGUCCUUUGAAAUGUUUUUUACUUUAUUGUAAAAGACAAUUUUCAGGAUUUUUACUUUGAGAAAAUUAGAGUGUUUCAAGCAGGCUAACGUUUUGAAUACUGCAGCAUGGAAUAAUAAAAUAGGAUUUUAGUUCUACGUUAUUGGUUUUAAGAGCUAAAUUAAUGAUUGAUAGGAGCAGUUGGGGGCAUUUGUAUUUAACUGUCAGAGGUGAAAUUCUUAGAUUUGUUAAAGACAAACUAC